rnacentral:rRNA from 1 species
CCCCUAGAUGUUCUGGGCCGCACGCGCGCUACACUGAACAGUUCAACAAGUCUUAACCUUGGCCGAUAGGUCUGGGUAAUCUUUGAACGCUGUUCGUGAUGGGGAUAGAACUUUGGAAUUAUUGUUCUUGAACGAGGAAUGCCUAGUAAGCGCACGUCAUUAGCGUGCGCUGAUUAAGUCCCUGCCCUUUGUACACACCGCCCGUCGCUCCUACCGAUUUCGAGUGGUCCGGUGAAUCUUUCGGACUGCGCGUGGCUUCGUGCCAUGUCGCGGAAAGUCAGGUAAACCUUAUCACUUAGAGGAAGGAGAAGUCGUAACA